rnacentral:ncRNA from 1 species
CCCGCUGAAUUUAAGCAUAUUACUAAGCGGAGGAAAAGAAACUAACAAGGAUUCCCUCAGUAGCGGCGAGCGAAGAGGGAAGAGCCCAGCGCCGAAUCCCCGCCCGGCGGUCGGGCGCGGGAAAUGUGGCGUACGGAAGUCUGCUUGCCCGGCGGCGGCAGGGGGGCCUGAGUCCUUCUGAUAGAGGCUCUGCCCGUAGACGGUGUGAGGCCGGUAAAGGCUCCCGUCGCGCCGGGGUCCGGUCUUCUCGGAGUCGGGUUGUUUGUGAAUGCAGCCCAAAGCGGGUGGUAAACUCCAUCUAAGGCUAAAUACCGGCGCGAGACCGAUAGCCGACAAGUACCUUAAGGGAAAGUUGAAAAGAACUUUGAAGAGAGAGUUCAACAGGGCGUGAAACCGUUGAGAGGUAAACCGGUGGGGUCCGCGCAGUCUGCGCGGGGGAUUCAGCUCCGGGGCUCGGUCGGUCGCUUGGUGCGUGGGUGGAGGGGGGUCUCCUCCUUCCCCGCCGCCUCGCUGGCCCGUGCCUUCUCCGGGGUGCACUUCCUCCGUGGCGGUGCGCCGCGACCGGCUCCUGUUCGGCUUGGAAAGGCUCGGGGCGAAGGUGGCCCGCGGCGCGAGCCGCGUGCUUUACAGCGCCCCCUGGCCCGUACCUCGCCGCUUCCGGGGGCCGUGGACUUAGUACUCGCUGCGCCCUCUCUCCCCGCGGGGAGGGACGGGGCCCCCCGCUCCCGGCGUGGCUGUCGAGCGGGGCGGACUGUUCUCAGUGCGCCCCAACCGCGUCGCGUCGCCCGGGCGGGGAUCGGCUCUCGUAAAAGGCGUCAGGGGUCUGCGGCGAUGUCGGCAACCCACCGGACCCGUCUUGAAACACGGACCAAGGAGUCUAACGCGUGCGCGAGUCAGAGGGUGGUUACGAAACCCCGUGGCGCAAUGAAAGUGAGGGCCGGCGCGCGCCGGCCGAGGUGGGAUCCCGGCCCCCCCGUGGGCAGGGCGCACCACCGGCCCGUCUCGCCCGCAGCGUCGGGGAGGUGGAGCGUGAGCGCACGCGAUAGGACCCGAAAGAUGGUGAACUAUGCCUGGGCAGGGCGAAGCCAGAGGAAACUCUGGUGGAGGCCCGCAGCGGUCCUGACGUGCAUGAAUGGAUGAACGAGAUUCCCACUGUCCCUACCGACUAUCUAGCGAAACCACAGCCAAGGGGACGGGCUUGGCAGAAUCAGC